rnacentral:misc_RNA from 1 species
GAUGAAAACGUAGCGAAAUGCGAUACGUAAUGUGAAUUGCAGAAUUCAGUGAAUCAUCGAGUCUUUGAACGCACAUUGCGCCCCCUGGUAUUCCGGGGGGCAUGCCUGUCCGAGCGUCAUUGCUGCCCUCAAGCACGGCUUGUGUGUUGGGCUCCGUCCCCCCGGGGACGGGCCCGAAAGGCAGCGGCGGCACCGAGUCCGGUCCUCGAGCGUAUGGGGCUUUGUCACCCGCUCUGUAGGCCCGGCCGGCGCCAGCCGACAACCCAUCAUCCUUUUCAGGUUGACCUCGGAUCAGGUAGGGAUACCCGCUGAACUUAAGCAUAUCAAUAAGCGGAGGA